rnacentral:misc_RNA from 1 species
GAUACUUGCCCGCUGAUAUCUUUCUUGAAUUGUAGUGCGCUGCCUCUAUGCUAAUUUAAAACAGAUCACCAUCAUCACUUCUACCAAGAAAUUAAAAGAUGGAGUUUACCCACCUCUCCCAGAUGUAAAUCAGGCAAAGGACAUUUGAUUUUUUUUAUUAUUUAGCCAAGAUAAUGUCUUUAUGUCUAAGUCCGAUGAUUCUUGAUAUUCUGAAUAUUCCAAUUGCCAAUGAAAUAGCCUACAUCCAUCCUUCUUGUUUCUUGCAUAUUCUUAAUAUUCCUGCAGUGCGAUUAAUGGAAUAUAAAGAUCGACCGAGGAUUCUCCAUGCAGAACAAACAGUAACUCGCCUUUUAGGUGGAGUCAUAAAGCAACCUAAGAUUUGAGACUCGCAUACGUAUAUCUUGAGUAUAUAUGAUCUUGCAAUAUUGUCACCAAGAGCAUAGUCUCUGCAAAACCAAAUGAAUGGAUGACUCUACUCAUCAAAAUAUUAAAAAUACUAUACAUCUACUGAGCUACAACAGCUCAAAGCUGGAAUUCAGCUUAUGUGUUCAAGAAAUUGUAACAAGAAGGUGAAAAGAUUAGAUGCUGAUGCUCUCCUAUGAAGAAGAGGAUGUUAGAACAGGUUUAAGUAAAUUAAACAUGAAAAAGCAGCUCACGGUUAAUGAACACAUAUAAAAACACUUAGAAAUCAUACACAAUAUUUCCAAAGGAAAACACACAACAUGCCAACUUGUUUCAUCGGUUGAUAACAUUGAAGCCCUUCACCGCCAAGCUUCAAACAGCUCUGUCCUAGGAUUUAUACCACCUACCAUACCAACUCCCUUGCUCUUCUCUACAGGUCCUGCUGCCUUCAUCGCUUGCUCAGUUACACUUUUGGAUCCCUUUUUGAUAUUUGAAUUACUUGAUUGGCCAGUUCUGUUCUUGGAAGUUCUUCUUUGGACUCCACCACUCUUAUUUGCAAAGCCACCCUCUAGUUUUUCAUUUGUUAAUGCAUUUACUUGAGAUGCAACUUCACAAGGACAAGUAUCAACCAAAGAAUGAUUUACUCCAGUAAUGUUCUCUAUAGAUGUCAGGAAAAUAUGACAUCCACUUUCAGUUGUACAAUCAUGUUGACAGGUUUGAGUAGGGCUCCCAAUUGCGGGUUCUUCAGAAACAAAUUCUUUCUCCCCUUCACUGAAUUCUUCAUUAGCCUCCAUAAAAGAUGGAUGAGAAUUCUGGUGCCCAUUCUCAUCGGAGGGCUCAAGGCUGGAAGCAGAAGCUGAUUCUAUAACAGAUUCUUCUCUCUCCCGUAGUGUCCUAACAAUAAGAGUCUUGAGAAAGUUCAUCACUUGGACAGCAUACAUCAAUGCAGUUAAUGGAUCUGACAUCUGCAAUAAGAAAAGGUUAAAUGCUGUCAAUACACUACAUUUUGAUCAAACUUUAUUUUAGUGGAGAAGACCUGACAAACAGAUUUGAAGAAAAUCAGUAUUUUGAUGUAUGUUCUAACAAUAACAUUUUGACAAGCAGUAACUCCACUUAUCCCUCAGAUAAUCCUUCAGGAAGAUGGUGAAUGCAUAUAUUAUCAAUUUUUGACAUAAGUCUUACUGGGGUUAGGAUAACAAUAAAUAAGCACAAUGCAGUGCAUGGAGUGGGACAAUUACAUUUGACAAAUUUGGGCAAUUUACAACAUUCACUCACUUGAGUCAUGUUUGGUGCAAAAACCAUGGCAACGUUACGUGCAUUCAUCUUGUUCAGAUGUUCCAGUUGAACAACAUCAGCCAUUAGGUUUAUCGCCCAAUCCAGCAGAGAAGCUUCUGUUGGAGGAAGGAGCCUUGCUAGCUGAACACAUUCUUCCUCUGACUGAGAUUGCAUUACCUGCUCUUGCGAAAGAGAGUCCAAGACACCAGUUGGGAGUUCUCUAAACCAAGCCUUUAUAAGACCUGCCAAGCAAUGAACAUCAAUGCCUUCUGGGACCACACCCCUAUUUAAUUGUUCCCUAACAUACUCCUCCUGGCUGUUCUCUGCAUUAAUUCUAAAAAUUCCUUCUGCCUGCAAACCUCCUUGGGCAUACAGUUGUCUUUGCAUCAUCAAGAGUAUUGUGGGCACACUAUUUCCUCUGGAGUCAUAUGAAAGCUGCAUGGACUCAGUUGAAACCCCAAAAACAGUUGCACUGGCACUAGGAGCUCUCCUGGGGACCUCAGGCUCAAAUUCAACAGGCAAGCCAAGAAACCCAUUGAACCUAUCAAAAGUGACAUGGGCAACAUGCCUGACAUUUGUGGGCAACCCAAUCUCCAUGUUGCAAAGCUCCUUACCCCCAACAGCAGUAGUACUACACCCAACAACGGACCUCCUUAAAGCAGCCACCAAAAAUUCAAGAAGUGACAGCUGAUCCCCUUCUCUCUCCCUUAUUUUCCCCUCAAUGGACCUAUCGUCCAGUUCCUGUUCCUGUUCCUGUUCCUGUUCGUGUUCUUGUACUUGUUCUUGGUCUAUUUCUUGUGGUCUAGUGGGGCUAUGUGGAAGUUGUUGGUGUGGGAUAUCAUUGUUGACACAUGGUGUGGAAGAAGAGCUUGAAGGAGAAGGGAAAUGAGAUGGAGAUGAUUGGAGUACUUCCGUCAUUGUUGGUUUUAGGAAAAAGAUAGAGAUAGAGAAUUUUUAUGUCAAAAAUUGAAAACAAGAAAUGGUCUUUUUUUCUUAUUUUGGAUUGUGAUGAGAGAAAGAAAGGUCAAGAUUUCCGUGUGGGCAUGUAGAGUUGGAUUGAAGGAAGGUUUUUGUGGGUAUGGUAGGACGUGACUAUCAUCACUCUCGAUUUCUUUCUUUUUGUAUUGUUUCCUUCUUUCUAUCUUGGCUGGCUUAGAUAUUGAGGCUUCAAGAAGCAAACAGAGAAAUGCGUUGAGAGAGAAAGAAAGCAAGAAAGUAAAGCUUUUAGAGAGAAAAAAAAAUGACAGGCAUAAGGUAAAUCAGACACUGGUACACAGAGAAAGUAGGCCAAUUCUUAUACCUCACCCAUUCCUCUGGAAUAAGCAAUCUGAAGAUACUUCUAGUUCUCUUCCUUUUUUCGUCUCUUUGAAUAUCGCCAAAUCAGCUUAAACAUCACCAUGGAUCCCUUAAAAAGAAAUACAUAAAAUGCUUCAGAAUAAUGUAAACCGCAACAGAGUUUUGGGGCGUGUUUGGACUUGCUCUGUAACAACUUGUUCAAGAUUAUUUUAUUGAAUC